rnacentral:rRNA from 1 species
UGAGGAAUUUUGCGCAAUGGGAGCAAUCCUGACGCAGCAACGCCGCGUGGGUGAUGAAGGCCUUCGGGUCGUAAAGCCCUGUCAGGUGGGAAGAAUGUCCCGGGACUGAACAGGUUCCGGGAGUGACGGUACCACCAGAGGAAGCACCGGCUAACUCCGUGCCAGCAGCCGCGGUAAUACGGAGGGUGCAAGCGUUAUUCGGAAUUACUGGGCGUAAAGCGCGUGUAGGCGGUCCUGCAAGUCUGAUGUGAAAGCCCCGGGCUUAACCCGGGAAGUGCAUUGGAAACUGUGGGACUUGAGUACUGGAGAGGAUGGGUGAAUUCCCGGUGUAGAGGUGAAAUUCGUAGAGAUCGGGAGGAAUAUAAGUGGCGAAGGCGCCCAUCGGGACGGUAACUGACGCUGAGACGCGAAAGCGUGGGGAGCAAACA